GCCUCUGUAGCUCAGUUGGUUAGAGCGCUGCAUCGGAAUCGCAGGGCCGUAGGUUCAAUUCCUACCAGAGGAC
rnacentral:tRNA from 1 species